CUCAUCUGCUCCUCAACAUGCUAACAGGGACUAACGUCCAACAGAAGAUUGAACUGCAGAAAGUUCCCUUUUUAAACCUGUAGAGGGAGGUCUAUGCAAAGAUUUGAUCCUUUAUAAACACACCAUCUGGAAUUGUCAUGUCAUUUGUGACGGAACAAUUUGGACCCACAAACACUCAUAGAAGUUGUUGUUUGACAAUAGAAGAUAUGAUUCUCUGGACUUUAUUCUUUCUAAUUAGUGUUCAUGGAGUCUGGAGUGAGAUCAGACUGGACCAGUCUCCAUCUGAGGUGAAAAGACCUGGAGAGACAGUGAAGAUGUCUUGUAUCACAUCUGGAUUUGACAUGACAGACUACUAUAUUCAGUGGAUACGACAGAGACCAGGACAAGCUCUGGAGUGGAUCGGGGAGAUGAAUGCAGGCACAAACUCUGCCAGCUAUGCCAGCGCCUUCCAGAAUCGUUUCCCGAUGACUGAAGAUGUGUCCAGCAGCACUCAGUACCUCCAGAUCAAGAGUCUGACAGCAGAAGAUUCUGCUGUUUAUUAUUGUGCUCGUAGAGACACAGUGAGUGAAGUCAGUGAAGCAGCUGCACAAAAACCUCCACAGAUGUCAGAUAACAGAGAGACAUCUGAGACAUCAUGGCUGAACUCAAUAAUACUGUAGAUUAUUUAUAAUAUUAUAAAUGCUUUGAAGCCUUUUAUGCUGAAAGUGACU